CUGGUGUAACACUCCCACAGUGAAACCUACUCCCUCCAACUGUAUUAUGUACUCUGCAGUGAUAAGGCCAUUACAUUAUGCGGUACCUUUAGUGUUUGUUGCCUGGAAAAAUCGGGCAUACAUCUAGCUGGAGUACAGCUGAAGAGAGCUACAGAGUGGUCCUCUUAGCCAGAGCACUCCCGUGACUCUUCAGAUGGAAAACUCUCAUCACCAUUUAGCUGUUUUAGAAAUGUCUCAGGACUGCAAAGAGGCACCAAGACGGCAGAAAGGAACCAAGAAGACACAGAUAAAUAUAUUUGUCAAGGAACAGACAGAAGUAUUGACCGGGACCAGAAAGCCUCCUGGAAAGUUGCAGAUGUUGAAUAUCCGGAUCUGCACUAAGCCUCAUUGCUGUGGCAGAUUUCCUCCCCCCAACCUUCUCUUUACCCAAUACAAGUCAACUCUCUGAACAUCUGUUCUGGCAUUAGGAUUUCCACCAGUGCCACCUUGCUGUCUGUCACCAGAAGGGCUAAUCAGUAUUCCAGGAAGUCGAUUUCACAACACAUUGCUCUCAGAGCCUUGUAAGCCAUGAAAGCUCUGGAAGGUUAUGCUUAAAGAAAAGAAGAGUCAAUAUGAUAAGCAGAGCUCCUUUGGUUAAAAUCAGUUGCUUUACAUUCUAUAUGAAAUACUUAGCUUUUCUAAUAACCUUGAAGCAAAAUUAUUGUGAGUUUGCUAUCUAAUUACAAUGAAUUACCAUUUACGGCCAAACAUAUUAAGUCACUACUUGUGUAGCUCACAAAUAUAAUGCAUAUAUUUUAUUCUCAAUCAGUACAUAUUUACUUAUUCUAUAUAGUAUUUGAAAUAUCAAAUAUAGUAUUUGAUAUCCAAGAAUUUUAUACCAUGGUUAAUAAUAAAAUCAUUUUGGGGAAAAUUUUAACACCUUUUAGUGAAAUCACCAUGCUUCAAAUAUUAGCUAAUUAUUUAAAAUAAUCUCAGCACUAACCUAAGAAUUGAUAUAGCUACUGAUAAUAAUACAAGUGAUAUGUGACCAACUAACAAUUGUUAAGGUGAAGACCAUUAGAAUUCUAAAUGUCUUAUGCAUAUUACUUUAUAUGGUCCACAUAAUAACUGCAUCAAGCAGAUAGAAUCAUCUUUCUGUAGUGGUUUGAAUGCAAAUGGCUCCACAGGCUCAUAGAGAAUGGUAUUAUUAGGAAACAGAGUACAUGUGGUCUUGUUGGAGGAGAUAUGUCACUAGGGUUGUGGGCUUUGAGGUUCAAGGUUAGUGCCAUUCUCUCUUCCUGCUACCUGCCCAUCUGGUUACAAAACUCAGCUCCAGGACCUGUAUGCUGCAAUGCUUUCCAACAUGGCAACAAUGGAAUAAACCUGUGUACUAACUGUAAUCCAACCCCAUUUAAAUGUUUCAUUUAUAAGAGUUGCUAUGGUCAUGGUACUUCUUCACAGUAAUAAAAUCCAGACAUUACAACUUUAUGAAUGACAAAAAUGAGGCUUAAGGAAUUGAAGUAUUCUCAAGGCAAUAUGUCUAAACAGAAGCAGAAACACAGUUUCCACAGUGGCCGUCUGGCAGCUCAACCACAUUCAUAACAUAGCAAGGACAGACUAUCUCUUCUUCACCACGGAUUCUCAAAACUCCACUGUUGUAUACACACACACACACACACACACACACACGUAUAUAUAUAUGAGAAAACACAAAGAUCUGGAGGGUUGAGGUGCUCUCCACAGAAACCUCUUUAUUUUUCAUAUACCUUGCUAGGUAAAAUUUAUUUUGUCCAAUCUACCUGUGCUUUUAUACUUUUUCCCCCUGUAAUCGUACUAAUCUCCGAUGAUGGAUUUUUUUUUACAGUUUCUCAGAUUUACCAUCUACAUCAUGUUACUGUUUCUUGUUUCUACAAGAUAGUCCACUCAAUCUGCCCCCUUUAAAAAGAAGCUAAAGUGGUAACAUCAUUGUUGUCGCAAGAUAAGUUGCCUUGAAAAUAUGAUAGUCUAGAAGGUGCUAUCCUCUGCUGUGAUUUCAACACGCUAGCUCAAAGCAGGCAACACAGGAGAGCCCAGCAGGCAAAUCAUCUCAGGAUGAUGGCUGCCUCUUGAACUAGGUACACCACUAGGCAGA